rnacentral:tRNA from 1 species
UCAAAUUAUACUAAAAGUAUUCUUUUUAAUGUAACUAAAAUGCUUAAUAAAAGCUUUAAUUUG